rnacentral:rRNA from 1 species
AUUGAACGCUGGCGGCAGGCCUAACACAUGCAAGUCGAGCGGAUGAGAGGAGCUUGCUUCUCGAUUCAGCGGCGGACGGGUGAGUAAUGCCUAGGAAUCUGCCUGGUAGUGGGGGACAACGUUUCGAAAGGAACGCUAAUACCGCAUACGUCCUACGAGAGAAAGCAGGGGACCUUCGGGCCUUGCGCUAUCAGAUGAGCCUAGGUCGGAUUAGCUAGUUGGUGAGGUAAUGGCUCACCAAGGCGACGAUCCGUAACUGGUCUGAGAGGAUGAUCAGUCACACUGGAACUGAGACACGGUCCAGACUCCUACGGAGGCAGCAGUGGGGAAUAUUGGACAAUGGGCGAAAGCCUGAUCCAGCCAUGCCGCGUGUGUGAAGAAGGUCUUCGGAUUGUAAAGCACUUUAAGUUGGGAGGAAGGGUUGUACGUUAAUACCGUGCAAUUUUGACGUUACCGACAGAAUAAGCACCGGCUAACUCUGUGCCAGCCGCCGCAGUAACAC